UAUUUUGUUUUUAAUAUAUAACCCGUCUCAUUUCAGCCUUCAAGUACCUUUCUUGUCCAUUUGUUUACCUCAAGUCAGUAACUCCAAAAUGGCAAGAGAACUUUUCAUUGUUAAUGAUAUCUUUGAUAGAGCAUUUUCUACUAACAGCUUGCUCAAACAUGUUGGUCACUUUCCAUGUUAAUGCAGUGAGCCUCAAGUCCAUUUCUCGUGAUUAUAGAUGCUAGAAUAACUAUAAUAUUCAGACGUUGAAGAGUCUAAAGACAUCUCGGAAGCAUUUGACAAAGAAGGGUUAUCCUCAUCCUAGAGAGAAAUCAGUAAGCAUGUUAACUUCAAGUCAUAUGUAUAAUAAGUAAUUACCGAGAAAUAAAAAAUGAUUCAGAAACAAUGAAUUACAUCAAGUGACUAAUAUGCUCUGCCUAUUAAAUUUGUAAGAUUUAAGCUCUAUCUGGUACACUAACUUUAAACUUUAAGUUACGGGACUUAGCACACAGGACCUUUGUUUGUUAUAGGGGAACCAUCUCUAUUAGUCAAGCUUGACAGUCACUACCUAACGUUUUUGGUAAAUAAAAAUUCAAUAUGUCCGAGAAUGAAAAUGAGGACAUAUUCAGCAGAAAGUUUGAAAGUUUAUUGAACCAAAAUAAAUGAUAACCCAAUUACUGCUUAAGGAUAGGGCAUACUUCAGGAAAGGUUGAGAGAAAUAGAAAACCUGAACUCCACAUGAAGUCCCAUUUCAUUAAAAUUCAUCACAUAUCAAAAGAUAGAGAUCAUGCCAAAUCAUAUUAACUUGUAUUGAUGAAUUGUUUAAGGUAAAUUUAAUAGUAGGCUAUGAUUUUAAACAUCCAAUGCAGAAAAAUACUUUAUAUAUCUGCAGAUAGACAUGAACAUAAUCUAAAGCAAAUACAUACAUAUUACAUAGAGUACAAAAGACAAUUGAUCUCGUGCUUCAAUCAUCUUAGGAAUAUCCUCAUGCUAAAGGGAAGAAAUUAUCACUAACAUGGUGCCUCCAUUAGUUGGAGGCACAAGUUAUUCCUAAGUUUAAAUAUCGAUUCAAAACUAUAAAAGAUACUUUGAACAAGAAAAAGAAAGAAGCAGUAAACCAGUGAAAGUGAAUUACCAACCUGACCAGCAAGUGAGAAUAGCAAGAUUCCCCUUGACCUCCUUGGGGAGUUGGCAGUUGAAUUCAUCAAAAGAAUAAACUGAAAACUUAAAGGAUGACAACACCUUUAAGCUUCAAUCUUCAUAUCAAUGUUUGAUGAGCUAUGAAUAACUAAGGUUGUCUAAAUCGAAAUAAACUCAACUACAUAGUAAUCGUGAAGAAAUAGAGAUUACCUUGCAAUGUAUAAGCAUAAAUCUCAUAUCAUAUUUAAGCCAACAUUCUCACCCUAC
rnacentral:lncRNA from 1 species